UCACUUCAUCCCAUAGACAGCCGUUUCCACAGCAAGACUCACAGAGGACCUUCAUCCUGCACAGCUCUUGUCUUCAGCAUCUCCUCAGGGCCUGAAAUGAGGCCCUCAUUCUAAGAUGCGUAAUGCCUGCUGCUGAGCCUUUCGAGCACACCCUGGCUGUAGGUGGAUGACUCCAUGCUGGAAGGUGAAGCCUGGAGCGCAGCUAAUGCUACCUCACAGCACUCUGAUCUACUGAAUGUCUCCCACUCAGAGACUGAAUUAGCUUUGUUUUGUGUCAGCCCCUCCAGGAACUGCAACAGAAAGUAGGAUGGCCACAACUGUAGUUACAUACAGGGGGCUUUCUGCCAGCUGAGAUCUCCACACUGCAAAUUGCAGCUUACCAGGAAGAGCUUGCUCCUACAUCUUAAUAAACAAACAGAAACAUUCCCUUAAGCAUGUCCUGCUAUAAACAAGCAAAGCAAGCAGCUGGUCCUCAUUUGAAAAGAUGUUACAUCAAUUUCAAAAGAAAUCUGCAGAUCUUCUUAAUGCAAAUAUUUUUGGGAAAACAAAAAGCAGCUGUUUAUGUUGCUUUAUACCUAUUAGCAGGAAAACACAAUCCAGGAUGCUUGUAUUUCUUCUUGUAAGAAAAACAUCCUCUUGGCAUCAACAUUCAUUCGGAUCUCAAAUUGUUUAAAAUAUACUAGGCUGCAUCAAUCUGCUUUUGCUCUGUCUUCAGCAAGCAGCUAGAAACCUUUUUUGUUCAUUAACUGUAAGACCUAAAAGCAAAACAGUCACCGAGGAGUUUGCACGAGUUCUGUAACAAAAGUUGUGACAUUUAGAAUAUGUGUUUUCAAGUUUAUCUGCUCUGUCCUCCCAGACCCUGCUGCAAGGAAAAUGUGCACGUUAGAUGUGUGCAACCCUGUAAGAGGAAGGAAUAAUCUACUGAGUAAUGAAGGCGGCCUUUUCUUAAUUACUGCUGGUAGGGACCUCUGAAGGAAUGUAAGGACUGAAGGAUGUGGGGACUGGAAAAUAGAAUGCGUUUGGAUUGCUGCAUGUUACAAUGUGGCGUCAGGGAGGUUAGGCUGAACAGUACUGGCGAAGAAUUGAAUUUGGAGACUCUAGAGCAGGAAAUGCCUUUUGAGGUCAUGUGGCCUUUCUACUAGACAUUAUUUCCCAUCCUAGGGUUUAUUUGGUAGUGUUUUUUUCAUGUGCUUUUGUUUGUGAAGUAACAUAGCUCCUUUUUUUUUUUUCCCUGAGGUUAUCAUUCUUCUGCUUUCCACUCUUUGCCUCCCAGAACCAACCAAAUGUAGGCCAAGGCUAACUUAGAAAAAUGGGUGACAGCAACAGCCAUCAACAAAUAGGACAGUUUGUGUUUGAUAAUUCAUGUGAUAGCUGUUACAUGGGGAUGUGGUCAUGUGUUGUGCAAGCUGAACUCCAACAGUUCCACUUCGUGCUGCCGGGCAGCUCGUGCUAACACGUCACAUCCCUGGAAAUCAGCUUGUUGCCUUGAACCUGAAAGUUGCAGCUGUUUUGCCCUGUGUUGUUAAGUGAAGUGAGCACAGCCCGAGUUGUCAUCUCUUGGAAGGUUCUGCUUGGUAUCUGAGAGCUACUAAAAUUCACAGCUGAACCAAAAACAUCUGUGAUAAUGUCUUAGUGGAAAGUCAGAGCUUGGCCUUGGCUAUCUCCUGGCGGGCGGAUGUACCACAAAACGUCACCUCCCAGGAAAAAAUGAAGCAGUUCCCUUGAGAAUACAUAAGUUCUAUUACAAGUGCACACAGGCCGUGGUUUCACACCAUUGCAUCAGAGCAGGAAGCAAUGCAUGACUCCACUUGACAGCACUGCCAGUUUCUACAGCAAAUGAAGGAAAGCAAACAGAACAAGAGCUGGGCUUUUGGCUCACCACGGCCAAGCCCGCAAUGCAGGAGCCAGGGAGCACCAGCAGAGGGUUCCAGGGAUCCUGGCACCAAAGCUCUUGUGAAGCACAGCCCAAAAGAUUGCUCCCAAAAAGCUGCAAAGGAGAGCUGUGCCACUAUUGACUCAUACAUGCUCUGCCAUGGCUGCACAGGAAGGACAGUCAGAAACAGGGGCUGGUUUUACCUGAGAUCAUUGAAAGGCAAGUUAGUAUUUCAGGAAUAGAUUCCUUCCUAGGACAGUCAGAGGAAAGCAG
rnacentral:lncRNA from 1 species